rnacentral:misc_RNA from 1 species
GAGAGCGGGACGUUUCGCACGAGAGAGCAAGCCGUGUCGUAGACCGGAAACUAUCCCAACUGUGGUACGGGAAGCCCCGUCGUUUACGACGGGGAGGAUGUCACCUCUCGGUGUUCC